GCAUUUUUUAGACAGUAGAGAGGAAGGGGUGAAGUCCCUUACAUUAACUUUUCCUAAAUUGUGUGUUAGGGUAUCUGUUUGCUUUGAAUAUAAGUGUCAUGUACUCAUAGAUUUCAGUUGGUUCCUUAUUUCCAGAUUAUAUGUCUGAGGGAUUUAGCAAAGAAUACGUUAUUUGGGGAGUCCUGACAUUACAUAGGAAAGGAAUGAUGAACUGUGAUUACUUCAUUAUAAAUACAUAAAUAGGUCAUUAUCACUUCAUUAUAAAUAAAUAAAUAGGUCCAAGAGGUCAUUUGUUCCUGGGGCAUCUAAGAGAUGAGAGAGAGAUUUUGUGAGGUCAGCGUGGGUGCGAUGACUUCCAGGAGGUGUACACGUGAACUUGCAAACUACAAUUCUCUCUCUUACACAAGAACAAAGCAGUGCCCCCAUCAACUGGCUGAAUUGUUUCCCUGUCCUUUUGUUGCUGAAAAUCUCAAAGUAUUUCCAGACCCUGCUGGGCUGAAGCAGAGGAGAGACUUUCCACUGGGACGCUGCGCCCCGCCAGUGCUUAUGCGGUUGGUAGAUGGCCAAGUAGUGAAUAUGCCAAGUGGUCAGAUCUGCCAGAUGGGAAUAGAGAGAGAAAUUGCAUGUGCCAGACCCAAUUAAAAUGGAAAACCCAAGGGCGCUGAUAGGCAAGGGUGAAGAAAGGGGAGCUGGGUCUAUGAUAUGCAAACUGCUCGCAAGUUAACAUAGUGUUCAGAGAAGCACCCGUUAACUCUGUGGUCUCAAAAAUAAUUUCCAAAACUUUCCUUCAGAAAUUCCUUAUUAGGGAAUCACCAUUGAACACCACCAGCAUUACUUGGAUAUCCUCUGGCGCUUUUUUUCCUCUUGCCACCACUCGAGGGAACAAAGGACAGACUCCCACCAGCUGCUCCGUGUGCCCAACAGAACCUUGCCAAAGACCCCUCUCCAGGACUUGCGUAAGGCUGACAUGGACGUGAAUGCGAGCAGGGCGUGGGGGCUCACCUGGACCCACAGAAGCCAGAGUUCCACUUUCUACACGUGACUUAGGUCAUUCUAGCUGUGCAGGCUGAGACUUACAGUCUGAUCCAGGUACAGAGUCACAGGAGUGGGAAAGGAGUUUCCACUGAUCAUAGCUGUUUGUCAGGUAGCUCUGAGGGGCCAGAUCUGUGUGGCGCUUUCCGACACUGACGUUCAGGCUUUCUUCACCAUUACUAACGGAUCGUGUCUCUGAUUGAACUCCUGAUCCUUUCCACCCCAACUGAUCCCGCACCCGUCCCCGUCUCGGUCAAGUCCAAUUCUGCGAGCCAGUGGUGCAGACCAAACUCCUGGAAAUCCAUGGGUCAUUCUCUCUUCCGUGUGCGACUCCUUCUGCCACCACCCUGGUCCAAGCCAUCAUCAUCUCUGGCCUCGGUGACUGUGGGAGCCACCCAGCUAGCCUUCCUGCUUUGUCCUUUAUCUUCCUACUGCCCAAGACUCCUAUCAAUAGGCCACUUUAAACUUGACAGAGUGGCCCCUAAGAAAAAAGAGAAAGGAGAGGAACUAUUCCUCCAUUCAAAGCCCACUAAUGAGUGUCCCCUCAUUCAGAGGGUCGUCCUCUCCUGGACCCCCUUCCCUCCUUGCUGGCUCUCUCUACGUAGCCUGCCUUGUGUGUUUCUAGCACUGCUAGCCCUCUGAUCUUUACAUAUUGGUUCCUGCUUGUGAUCCUUAUUCCCCUGCAAGUAUGUUAGCUCGAUGAGGGAAGGAAGUCUGGUUUUCGUGUGCCUGUUUUUCCACUGCUGUAUCACCAGUGCCUGGAACAACUUGUAUAUGAGGUAAAUACAUACUUGUUACCCAAGGAACAAACGAAUGCAUGAAUGACUGAUUGACACGACUUAGUAGCAUGGCCAGGGUGCGCCUCCUCAUCCUGAGACCAGCUGUCCCCACCCCACACCCUCCUGAAGGCAUCAGGGAUUGCUGCCUCUGCUCUUCUGUCAGACAUGUUGGAAAGAGAGAACCCUGACAGGGCUGAGGAAACUUAGUUCCCUCUUUCAAAAUCACCAGAUAAUUCAUUCUGCCUCUGAGUGGUAGAAUGAAUGGUUCAGGGUCCAGGUGAGCCCAUACACCUUGGCUCUUACUCAUGUCCAGGGCAGAAAAAUUCCUCAAAC